GCGUUAAUCGGAAUAAUUGGGCGUAAAGGGUGCGUAGGCGGUAAUGUAAGUCUUAUGUGAAAGUCAAUGGCUCAACCAUUGGAUGCCAUAAGAAACUGCAUUACUAGAAUAUUGUAGAGGGCAGUGGAAUUUCUGGUGUAGCGGUGAAAUGCGUAGAUAUCAGAAGGAACAUCAGUGGCGAAGGCGACUGCCUGGACAAAUAUUGACGCUGAGGCACGAAAGCGUG
rnacentral:rRNA from 1 species